AUUGAACGCUGGCGGCAUGCCUUACACAUGCAAGUCGAACGGCAGCGGGCCCUUCGGGGUGCCGGCGAGUGGCGAACGGGUGAGUAAUGCAUCGGAACGUACCCGGGAGAGGGGGAUAACCGGCCGAAAGGCUGGCUAAUACCGCAUGAACUCGGAAGAGCAAGGCGGGGGACCUUCGGGCCUCGCGCUCUCGGAGCGGCCGAUGUCCGAUUAGGCUAGUUGGUGGGGUAAAGGCCCACCAAGGCGACGAUCGGUAGCGGGUCUGAGAGGACGAUCCGCCACACUGGGACUGAGACACGGCCCAGACUCCUACGGGAGGCAGCAGUGGGGAAUCUUGGACAAUGGGCGCAAGCCUGAUCCAGCAAUGCCGCGUGGGUGAAGAAGGCCUUCGGGUUGUAAAGCCCUUUCGGCGGGGAAGAAAUCGGUCAGGCGAAUAGUCUGGCCGGAUGACGGUACCCGCAGAAGAAGCACCGGCUAACUACGUG
rnacentral:rRNA from 1 species